UCUCCCCUCCCCCUCUGUUUCUUCCUCUCUCUUUCUCCUCUCUCUGCUCUUUUACCUUCUCCCUGUCCCUUCCAUAACCUGCUAAAUAAAUAUCCAACUUUCACUGUGCAUGGAGUGCCUAUCCGUCUUGGUCUCUCAUGUGGCUUCCUGCCUGGGACCUGGCUGCCUUUGUGGCUUGCUGUGGUCUCGGCUCUGCUGCCCACUGCCUGCUGCCUGCCGCCUGCAGCAUUUUACUUAAACCAUUACAGACACAAGAGUUAUUUAGGAAGAAGAAACUCAACUGAGAAAAUGUCUCCAUUAGAUUGGCCUGCAGGCAGAUUACAAAAACAAGUCUCAUGUUUUAAAUUGAGACAAGUUGGCUCUUAGCAGCAGCACUCUACUUCCUCCCAAGAAGACAGAAGACAGAUAGGCAGAAAACAAUGUCCAGUUUGCUUCAACUGCCAAGCGCGGACCACUGGGAAAAACUGCCUUUCAUCUAAACUGAAAAUCUCCAGAUGUGGACAGAAUCACCAGAAUCGACAGCCUAGAUACUCAGGUCAAGGUGUCAGAUCCCCUGCAAUUGGAUCUUCAAAUAGUUGUAAGCUGCCAUGUGGGUGCUGGAAAUUGAACCUGGGUCCUCUGGAAGAGCAGCCAGUGCUCUUAACUACUGGACCAUGUCUCCAGACCUUCCUCCAGAUUUCUUAGCCCACAGGAUCUUCUGGAGCCUGGAAGGUCCUGUACAAAUUAGCAAAAGGCAAAUACGACCUCUCAGCAACCAUGGAGGAUCCUGAGAA